rnacentral:rRNA from 1 species
UACAGGGGGGGCAAGCGUUAUUCGGAUUCACUGGGCGUAAAGGGCGCGCAGGCGGCCAGGUGUGUCAGGUGUGAAAGCCCGGAGCUUAACUCCGGAAUUGCGCCUGAAACUACUUGGCUAGAGCAUUGGAGAGGGUAGCGGAAUUCACGGUGUAGCAGUGAAAUGCGUAGAUAUCGUGAGGAACACCAGAGGCGAAGGCGGCUACCUGGACAAUUGCUGACGCUCAGGCACGAAAGCGUGGGGAGCAAACAGG